rnacentral:rRNA from 1 species
UACGUAGGGGGCAAGCGUUGUCCGGAUUUAUUGGGCGUAAAGAGCGUGUAGGCGGCCUGUCAGGUCUGCUGUGAAAACUCGAGGCUCAACCUCGAGAUGUCGGCGGAAACCGUCUGGCUAGAGUCCGGAAGAGGAGAGUGGAAUUCCUGGUGUAGCGGUGAAAUGCGCAGAUAUCAGGAAGAACACCUAUGGCGAAGGCAGCUCUCUGGGACGGUACUGACGCUGAGACACGAAAGCGUGGGGAGCGAACAGG